UACGGAGGGUGCAAGCGUUAAUCGGAAUUACUGGGCGUAAAGCGUGCGCAGGCGGUUUGUUAAGUCCGCUGUGAAAUCCCCGAGCUCAACUUGGGAAUUGCAGUGGAUACUGGCAAGCUGGAGUAUGGUAGAGGAAGGUGGAAUUCCCGGUGUAGCAGUGAAAUGCGUAGAGAUCGGGAGGAACACCAGUGGCGAAGGCGGCCUUCUGGACCAAUACUGACACUCAUACACGAAAGCGUGGGGAUCAAACAGG
rnacentral:rRNA from 1 species